rnacentral:lncRNA from 1 species
ACUCAUUUUUUAACAAGAAAUAUGUUUAGCGUCAUAACGAUGUUCAGGUCGCACAUGCAUACCAGAACACUGAGGGGUGGUCUUACAAAUGACAACUACUUUCAGGUUAGUAAUUUCUUCUGUUUGAGAUAUUCCAUGACCCUUCUAGCUAGCUCCAGUCAUUCAAUUUAUCAUUAUAUCCAACAUAUUUUUAUGCCCGACAUUCCUAAUCUGCCGGUCACAAGAAACUGUAGUAUAAUGUCAGGUCGCACAUUCUUUUUGUCUCAUGGUUCAGUAGAUGUCUCAUGGUGAGCAGCAGCACUAGGUUGCAGUAUAAUGUCAGCUGAUUGCAACAUCCUGAGUUAUUUUAUCUGGAAGCCUGAAUCUCUUUCAACUUUCAGUACACAUCUAUUCUGAUUUGUGCGUAAGGAAACUCACAAGUUUGUGUCCAUCUUUUUGGUAGUAAUCAUAUGGCUUGCAUAUUUUAUCAGACUGAUCAGUCACAAAGAUCAGACUGAUCAUAUUUGGUACAGAAGAUCAAAAGAAGCAUUUAUGUCAUCUUUUGUGUGCUUUAGAAAAGGUACCAUGGAUUGAUGGUGUUGGAUCCAAUUAAUAUAUGAUGUAAUUGACUGCUAUUCCUAAGAACUGCUCCUGGACACAGUGCUCUAUGUUAUCAUGUCGCCUAUCUGUAUAGUUACUCGGAUCUUACAUUUCAAUUUUUGUAUUGUUGUCGGUGCAAGUGUUUUUUUCCUACUAUAAAACAACAGGGAUUUCUUUAAAUUAAAUUGUACAUAUUGUCGAAAAAUAUCCUGUGUAUGUCUAUAUUCAUGUUCAUGCCUAAUAUAAAACAAACAUUCUUCAUUGCCCACGCCUUUUCCUUCUGUUAAUGAUGAUAAUGCAGCUCCAUCUUAUUAAUUCCUUCUUCAUUCACUUGAAAUAUUGCCUAACUAUUUUUUUUGUGUGUAUUUGUUUUUGCAGCCUAACUUAUGAUUAAACUGAAGGUGUUUAGCAUGGUCUAGUAUGCAUUUCUUAGUUUCUCUUGAUUUCUGUUCCUAUUUUUGUUUCCUUUCAUUUUAAACCAAUUGUAUUUGCAUACAUAUUGGAGAGGUUAUUUCUCGUGUGAAGUUACUAUUUUUCUUUCAGUUCUGAAGCACCUUCCUCAACUUUUGAUGGUCUACUUUACAAGAGAAAAUAUUUCUCUUUUUGCAUGAUGCAGGUUUCUUUAUGGUCUACUUUACAAGAGAAAACAUUUCUCUGGAAGGAGCUGCUGACAAGGCUUGACAACAAACUGGACGGAGUUCUUCACAUGGCAAACAUAGAUGAAGGAACGAUGUAUACCUUCACUUUCAGACGCAAGGCAAAGUGCCUCCGCCUCUGUCUAACUGCUCACUCCCUAUGAGGACACCAUCGUAAACCUUCGGUAUCACCUAUAUAUAGCUUGUGUACCAGACUUCAUGUUUAUAAUGCUCUUAUGUUAUCUCCACAUUGGUUUGUCUUUCCUUAUGGAUUACCUCAUAUAUAUUAUAGAUCGUCCAUGUG